rnacentral:rRNA from 2 species
GAGUUCUCGUUGAUGAUCGGUGCUUGCACCGAGAUUCAACAUGGAACGAGUGGCGGACGGGUGAGUAACACGUGGGUAACCUGCCCUUAAGUGGGGGAUAACAUUUGGAAACAGAUGCUAAUACCGCAUAGAUCCAAGAACCGCAUGGUUCUUGGCUGAAAGAUGGCGUAAGCUAUCGCUUUUGGAUGGACCCGCGGCGUAUUAGCUAGUUGGUGAGGUAAUGGCUCACCAAGGCGAUGAUACGUAGCCGAACUGAGAGGUUGAUCGGCCACAUUGGGACUGAGACACGGCCCAAACUCCUACGGGAGGCAGCAGUAGGGAAUCUUCCACAAUGGACGCAAGUCUGAUGGAGCAACGCCGCGUGAGUGAAGAAGGCUUUCGGGUCGUAAAACUCUGUUGUUGGAGAAGAAUGGUCGGCAGAGUAACUGUUGUCGGCGUGACGGUAUCCAACCAGAAAGCCACGGUUACUACGUGCCAGCAGCCCGCGGNAUUACA